rnacentral:rRNA from 1 species
UACGUAGGGUGCAAGCGUUGUCCGGAUUUACUGGGUUUAAAGGGUGCGUAGGCGGGUUAUUAAGUCAGUGAUGAAAUGUCAGGGCUCAACCUUGGCGCUGUUGCUGAGACUGAUGGUCUUGAGAAUGGUUGAGGUUGCUGGAAUGAGUGGUGUAGCGGUGAAAUGCGUAGAGAUCACUCAAAACACCAAUUGCGAAGGCAAGCUACUAAGCCAUAUCUGACGCUGAGGCACGAAAGCGUGGGGAGCGAACAGG